UUUCGAUUUCAAUUUUAAUUACGAACCGAACAUCCUCUGAUGAUUUGGGCUAAAUCUCGCUGUCACACUGAUUCCAAUCAUUUCUCUUUGUAUCUUGGUUUUAUUGAAAACAAGAAUAUGCAUACAUUGACGAGGGACUUGGCUUGGACUAAGGGUAUAAGCCUAACUUCAAAAAUUCAAUGGUAGUUCCAAAAUCAUUCCACGAAAGUAUAACUUUCUUCGAAAAUGGAAUAGACCCCGUAAUGUGCCAAGAAUACUGCUUUGCAUAUCCUUUAGUGUACCUCGAGCAAUCACCAAAUCAGG
rnacentral:lncRNA from 1 species